rnacentral:rRNA from 1 species
CCUACGGGAGGCUGCAGUGGGGAAUAUUGGACAAUGGGCGAAAGCCUGAUCCAGCCAUGCCGCGUGUGUGAAGAAGGCCUUCGGGUUGUAAAGCACUUUCAGUGGGGAAGAAAGCCUUGGGGCUAAUACCCUCGAGGAAGGACAUCACCCACAGAAGAAGCACCGGCUAACUCCGUGCCAGCAGCCGCGGUAAUACGGAGGGUGCGAGCGUUAAUCGGAAUUACUGGGCGUAAAGCGCGCGUAGGCGGUCUGAUAAGCCGGUUGUGAAAGCCCCGGGCUCAACCUGGGAACGGCAUCCGGAACUGUCAGGCUAGGGUGCAGGAGAGGAAGGUAGAAUUCCCGGUGUAGCGGUGAAAUGCGUAGAGAUCGGGAGGAAUACCAGUGGCGAAGGCGGCCUUCUGGACUGACACUGACGCUGAGGUGCGAAAGCGUGGGUAGCAAACAGGAUUAGAUCCCGGGUAGUC